rnacentral:rRNA from 1 species
UACAGAGGUCCCGAGCGUUGUUCGGAUUCACUGGGCGUAAAGGGUGCGUAGGUGGCAUGGAAAGUUUGAUGUGAAAGCUCAGGGCUUAACCCUGAAAUGGCAUUGAAUACUGCUGUGCUGGAGGUUUGGAGGGGGGAUUGGAAUUCUUGGUGUAGCAGUGAAAUGCGUAGAUAUCAAGAGGAACACCAGUGGCGAAGGCGAGUCCCUGGACAACACCUGACACUGAGGCACGAAAGCUAGGGGAGCAAACAGG